rnacentral:rRNA from 1 species
AAUUAUGGACAAUGGGCGCAAGCCUGAUCCAGCCAUGCCGCGUGAGUGAAGAAGGCCUUCGGGUUGUAAAGCCCUUUCGGACGGAAAGAAACCGCGCAGGCUAAUAUCUUGCGCGGAUGACGGUACCCGCAUAAGAAGAAACGGCUAACUACGUGCCAGCAGGCGCGGUAAUACGUAGGGUGCGCGCGUUAAUCGGAAUUACUGAGCGGAAAGCGGGCGCAGGCGGUUAAUUAAGACAGGCGUGAAAUCCCGGGCUUAACCUGGGAACUGCGCUUGUGACUGGUCAGCUAGAGUACGGCAGAGGGGGGUGGAAUUCCACGUGUAGCAGUGAAAUGCGUAGAGAUGUGGAGGAACACCGAUGGCGAAGGCAGCCCCCUGGGCCGAUACUGACGCUCAUGCACGAAAGCGUGGGUAGCAAACAGG